rnacentral:rRNA from 1 species
GUGGGGAAUAUUCCGCAAUGGACGAAAGUCUGACGGAGCAACGCCGCGUGAGUGAUGAAGGUUUUCGGACUGUAAAGCUCUGUUGUUUAGGACGAAAGUGCCUGUUGCAAAUAGUUACAGGUAUUGACGGUACUGAACGAGGAAGCCACGGCUAACUACGUGCCAGCAGCCGCGGUAAUACGUAGGUGGCAAGCGUUGUCCGGAAUUAUUGGGCGUAAAGAGCAUGUAGGCGGGAAUCUAAGUCUGUUGUGAAAAUGCGGGGCUCAACCCCGUAUUGCGAUGGAAACUGGGUUUCUUGAGUGCAGGAGAGGAAAGGGGAAUUCCCAGUGUAGCGGUGAAAUGCGUAGAUAUCAGGAAGAACACCGGAGGCGAAGGCGGCUUACUGGACAAUAACUGACGUUGAGGCUCGAAAGCGUGGGAAGCAAACAGGAUUAGAAACCCUUGUAGUCC